rnacentral:rRNA from 1 species
CCUACGGGAGGCAGCAGUAAGGAAUAUUGGUCAAUGGACGCAAGUCUGAACCAGCCAUGCCGCGUGGAGGAUGAAGGUCCUCUGGAUUGUAAACUUCUUUUAUCUGGGAAGAAAUCCACAAAUUCUUUUGUGGUUGACGGUACCAGAUGAAUAAGCACCGGCUAACUCCGUGCCAGCAGCCGCGGUAAU